rnacentral:rRNA from 1 species
UACGAAGGGUGCAAACGUUGCUCGGAAUUAUUGGGCGUAAAGCGCACGUAGGCGGUAUUGCAAGUCGGAUGUGAAAUCCCUCGGCUUAACCAAGGAAGUGUAUCCGAAACUGCCGUACUUGAGUACUUAAGAGGAUCGCGGAAUUCCCGGUGUAGAGGUGAAAUUCGUAGAUAUCAGGAGGAACACCUGCGGUGUAGACGGCUUACUGGACCAUAACUGACGCUGAGGCACGAAAGCGUGGGUAGCAAACAGG